rnacentral:rRNA from 1 species
AUUGAACGCUGGCGGAAUGCUUUACACAUGCAAGUCGAACGGCAGCAUAGGUGCUUGCACCUGAUGGCGAGUGGCGAACGGGUGAGUAAUACAUCGGAACGUGCCCGGUCGUGGGGGAUAACGUAGCGAAAGUUACGCUAAUACCGCAUACGAUCUACGGAUGAAAGCGGGGGACCGUAAGGCCUCGCGCGAUUGGAGCGGCCGAUGUUAGAUUAGGUAGUUGGUGGGGUAAAGGCUCACCAAGCCGACGAUCUAUAGCUGGUCUGAGAGGAUGAUCAGCCACACUGGGACUGAGACACGGCCCAGACUCCUACGGGAGGCAGCAGUGGGGAAUUUUGGACAAUGGGCGCAAGCCUGAUCCAGCCAUUCCGCGUGCAGGACGAAGGCCUUCGGGUUGUAAACUGCUUUUGUACAGAACGAAAAGCCUUGGGUUAAUACCCUGGGGUCAUGACGGUACUGUAAGAAUAAGCACCGGCUAACUACGUG